rnacentral:rRNA from 1 species
CAGCCGCCGCGGUAAAACGUAGGGUGCAAGCGUUGUCCGGAAUUAUUGGGCGUAAAGAGCUCGUAGGCGGUUUGUCGCGUCUGCUGUGAAAUCCCGAGGCUCAACCUCGGGCUUGCAGUGGGUACGGGCAGACUAGAGUGCGGUAGGGGAGAUUGGAAUUCCUGGUGUAGCGGUGGAAUGCGCAGAUAUCAGGAGGAACACCGAUGGCGAAGGCAGAUCUCUGGGCCGUAACUGACGCUGAGGAGCGAAAGCGUGGGGAGCGAACAGGAUUAGAUACCCGCGUAGUCCCUGUCUCUUAUAC